AACGAACGCUGGCGGCAGGCCUAAUACAUGCAAGUCGAACGCGUGUAGCAAUACACGAGUGGCGCACGGGUGAGGAACACGUGGGAACCUACCCUCUGGUACGGAAUAACCCCGGGAAACUGGAGCUAAUACCGUAUGUCUCCUAAGGGAGAAAGAUUUAUCGCCGGAGGAGGGGCCCGAGUCCGAUUAGCUAGUUGGUGAGGUAACGGCUCACCAAGGCAACGAUCGGUAGCUGGUCUGAGAGGACGAUCAGCCACACUGGGACUGAGACACGGCCCAGACUCCUACGGGAGGCAGCAGUAGGGAAUAUUGGACAAUGGGCGAAAGCCUGAUCCAGCCAUGCCGCGUGAGUGAUGAAGGCCUUCGGGUUGUAAAGCUCUUUUGGCGGGGACGAUGAUGACGGUACCCGCAGAAUAAGCACCGGCUAACUCCGUGCCAGCAGCCGCCGUAA
rnacentral:rRNA from 1 species